rnacentral:lncRNA from 10 species
CACUAUGUUUGACCUCACCUCAUCCAUGCUUUUCUUUGCCUGAUAGAACUUGCCCUGUUUCACUCGAACACUGGAUAGCUCUGUCUCAAGGGCCAACCUGAGUGUUUCUGUGGAAAGGAUGUUUUCCACAGGGAGAAGCAGUAGGCUGAAGUGGCUCUUUAGGGAGACGCAUACCUCCACAGGCAGAGCAGUCUAGAUUGUUUUAGCACAUUCCACUUAAGAACUGCAGUGUGACAGCAGGUAAAUCACUUGCCACUUUUGUGCCCAUGCCUCUAGACUGUCAGUUUGUGCCUGACCCUCACCUGUGACAUGCUCUGUUUCUCUCUCUGCUUCCUUCCCCAGACCCAAUUGGGUCUGGAACUAGCUCUGGGAUUUGCUGCAUGUUGCUGACCCUGAGUCUUGGAGAGAAGCCCUGAUGAGACAAAGAGGGAUGCUGAUAACCUAGAGGAGGGACAUUGAUGAUGGACACCUCUGCCUCCUUCCACUUUAUUUGGCUGGCUGCCUCCCGAUGUCCUGGCUUAGAGAAAAUCCUCUCCAGUCAGGUGAUUGCAUCCAUUUCAUCUUCCCAGCCCUCCUCUAGAUGGGAGGUGGAGGUGUGUGUACCAAUCUCUUAAUUCAGAAAUGAGACAAAAGGAGGAAAAAGGAGAAGUUCAGGAGGUGUGUGAUCCAAGUCUGGCUACAGGCCAUGGACAUUCCAGGAGGGAGACUCCAUCAGAGAAGUGGAGCUGGAGUUGGGUGUUAGAGGGUGAAGGGAGGGUUUGAACAGGCG